rnacentral:rRNA from 1 species
GACGAACGCUGGCGGCGUGCUUAACACAUGCAAGUCGAACGGAAAGGCCCUGCUUUUGUGGGGUGCUCGAGUGGCGAACGGGUGAGUAACACGUGAGUAACCUGCCCUUGACUUUGGGAUAACUUCAGGAAACUGGGGCUAAUACCGGAUAGGAGCUCCUGCUGCAUGGUGGGGGUUGGAAAGUUUCGGCGGUUGGGGAUGGACUCGCGGCUUAUCAGCUUGUUGGUGAGGUAGUGGCUUACCAAGGCUUUGACGGGUAGCCGGCCUGAGAGGGUGACCGGCCACAUUGGGACUGAGAUACGGCCCAGGCUCCUACGGGAGGCAGCAGUGGGGAAUAUUGCACAAUGGGCGGAAGCCUGAUGCAGCAACGCCGCGUGCGGGAUGACGGCCUUCGGGUUGUAAACCGCUUUCGCCUGUGACGAAGCGUGAGUGACGGUAAUGGGUAAAGAAGCACCGGCUAACUACGUA